ACGGGAGGCAGCAGCUAAGAAUCUUCCGCAAUGGACGAAAGUCUGACGGAGCGACGCCGCGUGUACGAAGAAUGUCGAGAGAUUGUAAAGUACUUUUAUAUGUGAGGAAUAACCAGAUCAGGAAAUGGGUUUGGGAUGACGUCAGCAUAUGAAUAAGCUCCGGCCAAUUACGUGCCAGCAGCCGCGGUAA
rnacentral:rRNA from 1 species